CUAUAGUACUAGAGCUAUACGUACUCGUACUCGUUGACGCUAGACUGAGAAAAAAGUUUUCUGGUGUAUUUUUAUGAAAAACUUAAAACUCACAUUUUACUCAUUAAUUAAAAUAAAAUAUAAUAUCACUAUAAUUGCAA